GGGUUGUGAGGUUAAGCGACUAAGCGUACACGGUGGAUGCCCUGGCAGUCAGAGGCGAUGAAGGGCGUGCUAAUCUGCGAUAAGCGCCGGUAAGGUGAUAUGAACCGUUAUAACCGGCGAUACCCGAAUGGGGAAACCCAGUGUGACUCGUCACACUAUCAUUAACUGAAUCCAUAGGUUAAUGAGGCGAACCGGGGGAACUGAAACAUCUAAGUACCCCGAGGAAAAGAAAUCAACCGAGAUUCCCCCAGUAGCGGCGAGCGAACGGGGAGGAGCCCAGAGCCUGAAUCAGCAUGUGUGUUAGUGGAAGCGUCUGGAAAGGCGCGCGAUACAGGGUGACAGCCCCGUACACAAAAGCGCAUGUGCUGUGAGCUCGAUGAGUAGGGCGGGACACGUGGUAUCCUGUCUGAAUAUGGGGGGACCAUCCUCCAAGGCUAAAUACUCCUGACUGACCGAUAGUGAACCAGUACCGUGAGGGAAAGGCGAAAAGAACCCCGGCGAGGGGAGUGAAAAAGAACCUGAAACCGUGUACGUACAAGCAGUGGGAGCACCCUUUGGGUGUGACUGCGUACCUUUUGUAUAAUGGGUCAGCGACUUAUAUUCUGUAGCAAGGUUAACCGAAUAGGGGAGCCGGAGGGAAACCGAGUCUUAAUUGGGCGUUAAGUUGCAGGGUAUAGACCCGAAACCCGGUGAUCUAGCCAUGGGCAGGUUGAAGGUUGGGUAACACUAACUGGAGGACCGAACCGACUAAUGUUGAAAAAUUAGCGGAUGACCUGUGGCUGGGGGUGAAAGGCCAAUCAAACCGGGAGAUAGCUGGUUCUCCCCGAAAGCUAUUUAGGUAGCGCCUCGUGAAUUCAUCUCCGGGGGUAGAGCACUGUUUCGGCUAGGGGGCCAUCCCGGCUUACCAACCCGAUGCAAACUGCGAAUACCGGAGAAUGUUAUCACGGGAGACACACGGCGGGUGCUAACGUCCGUCGUGAAGAGGGAAACAACCCAGACCGCCAGCUAAGGUCCCAAAGUCAUGGUUAAGUGGGAAACGAUGUGGGAAGGCCCAGACAGCCAGGAUGUUGGCUUAGAAGCAGCCAUCAUUUAAAGAAAGCGUAAUAGCUCACUGGUCGAGUCGGCCUGCGCGGAAGAUGUAACGGGGCUAAACCAUGCACCGAAGCUGCGGCAGCGACACUGUGUGUUGUUGGGUAGGGGAGCGUUCUGUAAGCCUGUGAAGGUGUGUCGUGAGGCAUGCUGGAGGUAUCAGAAGUGCGAAUGCUGACAUAAGUAACGAUAAAGCGGGUGAAAAGCCCGCUCGCCGGAAGACCAAGGGUUCCUGUCCAACGUUAAUCGGGGCAGGGUGAGUCGACCCCUAAGGCGAGGCCGAAAGGCGUAGUCGAUGGGAAACGGGUUAAUAUUCCCGUACUUGGUGUUACUGCGAAGGGGGGACGGAGAAGGCUAUGUUGGCCGGGCGACGGUUGUCCCGGUUUAAGCGUGUAGGUGUGUGUUCCAGGUAAAUCCGGUUCACUUUAACACUGAGGCGUGACGACGAGGCACUACGGUGCUGAAGCAACAAAUGCCCUGCUUCCAGGAAAAGCCUCUAAGCAUCAGGUAACAUCAAAUCGUACCCCAAACCGACACAGGUGGUCAGGUAGAGAAUACCAAGGCGCUUGAGAGAACUCGGGUGAAGGAACUAGGCAAAAUGGUGCCGUAACUUCGGGAGAAGGCACGCUGACACGUAGGUGAAGUGAUUUACUCAUGGAGCUGAAGUCAGUCGAAGAUACCAGCUGGCUGCAACUGUUUAUUAAAAACACAGCACUGUGCAAACACGAAAGUGGACGUAUACGGUGUGACGCCUGCCCGGUGCCGGAAGGUUAAUUGAUGGGGUCAGCGCAAGCGAAGCUCCUGAUCGAAGCCCCGGUAAACGGCGGCCGUAACUAUAACGGUCCUAAGGUAGCGAAAUUCCUUGUCGGGUAAGUUCCGACCUGCACGAAUGGCGUAAUGAUGGCCAGGCUGUCUCCACCCGAGACUCAGUGAAAUUGAACUCGCUGUGAAGAUGCAGUGUACCCGCGGCAAGACGGAAAGACCCCGUGAACCUUUACUAUAGCUUGACACUGAACAUUGAGCCUUGAUGUGUAGGAUAGGUGGGAGGCUUUGAAGUGUGGACGCCAGUCUGCAUGGAGCCGACCUUGAAAUACCACCCUUUAAUGUUUGAUGUUCUAACGUGGACCCGUUACCCGGGUUGCGGACAGUGUCUGGUGGGUAGUUUGACUGGGGCGGUCUCCUCCUAAAGAGUAACGGAGGAGCACGAAGGUUGGCUAAUCCUGGUCGGACAUCAGGAGGUUAGUGCAAUGGCAUAAGCCAGCUUGACUGCGAGCGUGACGGCGCGAGCAGGUGCGAAAGCAGGUCAUAGUGAUCCGGUGGUUCUGAAUGGAAGGGCCAUCGCUCAACGGAUAAAAGGUACUCCGGGGAUAACAGGCUGAUACCGCCCAAGAGUUCAUAUCGACGGCGGUGUUUGGCACCUCGAUGUCGGCUCAUCACAUCCUGGGGCUGAAGUAGGUCCCAAGGGUAUGGCUGUUCGCCAUUUAAAGUGGUACGCGAGCUGGGUUUAGAACGUCGUGAGACAGUUCGGUCCCUAUCUGCCGUGGGCGCUGGAGAACUGAGGGGGGCUGCUCCUAGUACGAGAGGACCGGAGUGGACGCAUCACUGGUGUUCGGGUUGUCAUGCCAAUGGCACUGCCCGGUAGCUAAAUGCGGAAGAGAUAAGUGCUGAAAGCAUCUAAGCACGAAACUUGCCCCGA
rnacentral:rRNA from 4 species